rnacentral:rRNA from 1 species
UACGUAGGAUCCAAGCGUUGUCCGGAUUUACUGGGUGUAAAGGGUGCGCAGGCGGACUUAUAAGUCAGAGGUGAAAUCUCACUGCUCAACAGUGAAACUGCCUUUGAUACUGUAGGUCUUGAAUUAGGGAGAGAUUCGUGGAAUUCCGAGUGUAGCAGUGAAAUGUGUAGAUAUUCGGAAGAACACCAGUGGCGAAGGCAGCGAAUUGGCCCUAUAUUGACGCUCAGGCACGAAAGCAUGGGGAUCAAACAGG